rnacentral:misc_RNA from 1 species
UUCUAAUUUGACAGUAAAAGAAUAUGGCAAUAUUAACUUAUCAAUUUUAAAUUUCUAUUGUAACAAAGUUCAUAAAAACAUUCAAAAUUUUCAGUGUUUAUAGAGAAACUUAUUGCAAAAAAUGAACAAAUCUUCGUAUGAAUUACUAGAUGAUAAUUUAAUAUCUUCUCCAUCACAACAAACUAGUAGCAGCAAUAGCAGUGUGAGCAGCUGUUCAAAUGAAUCCCUUAAAACACCAGAGAAGAAAAUAAAUCAAGCAGAUGAACAUAAAAUUACCGAAAUACCUCCAAACGAACCCGUUCCGACCAUCUCAGAAGAAGAAUGGAUAUCAGGAGGUUCUUUAGGAUCUCGUAACACUGUCCUUAUUUUUAAAAGUUCAGCUUUAGCUAGUGCAUCAGAAUCAUCGAUACAAGAAAAGCCUGCCUGUAAAUUACAUAUUACUUACAAAGUAUUACAAGCCGAAUCGAAAUUAUUAUCUAAAUUAUUGGAUUGUCAUGGCAUUACCGAAGUCGCCCCGAAUUCAUCAGAUUUUAACUUACUAUGGACCGGAUCACAUCCUAAACCAGGUACAAUAAGAUCGUUAGCUCCACACCAAAGAGUAAAUCAUUUUCCACGAUCGUAUGAGCUAACCCGCAAAGAUCGACUGUAUAAAAACAUAGAGCGUAUGCAGCAUGCGAAAGGACUGAAAAAUUUUGAUUUCAUCCCACAAACAUUCGUCAUGCCCAUCGAGUAUCGUGAUCUGUGUACAACACAUCAUCGAGUAAAAGGACCUUGGAUAGUCAAACCUGUAGCCUCAAGCAGGGGUAGAGGUAUUUUUAUCGUCGAAACUCCAAAUCAAGUGCCUCUAGAAGAACCAGUAGUAGUGGCCAAAUAUAUUUCCAAUCCUCUUUUAGUAGCCGGUCACAAAUGCGACCUGAGAUUAUACGUAGUGGUAACUAGUUUUGAUCCGUUGCUAAUUUAUAUUUAUGAAGAAGGUUUAGUGAGAUUUGCUACUGUUAAAUAUGAUGCUAGUCACAAGCAGCUAUGGAACCCAUGCAUGCAUCUCUGUAAUUAUAGUAUUAAUAAAUAUCAUAGUGAUUAUGUCAAAUCGGAUGAUCCUUCAGCCGAAAAUGUUGGUCAUAAAUGGACUCUAAGUGCUUUAUUAAGACAUUUGAAAUCUGAAGGUAAAGAUACGGCGCUAUUGAUGUCUCAAAUUGAGGAUAUGAUUAUUAAAGCAAUCUUGGCGUGUGCUAAUUCUGUGAUAUCAGCUUGUAAAAUGUUUAUUCCCUUUACCAACAAUUGCUUUGAACUGUAUGGCUUCGAUAUUUUGAUAGAUAAAACACUCAAACCGUGGUUAUUAGAAGUUAAUUUAUCACCUUCAUUAAACUGCGACAGUCCAUUAGAUGUAAGGUUAAAAUCCGCCAUGUUGGCUGAUCUGUUAUCCCUAGUGGGAAUACCUGCCGUUGAUCCCAUGGUUAGAAUUAACGAUGAUCAUCACAAGUCAAAUUCAAGUAUUAGAUCCAAUUUAACUCACUGUAGAAGAGUACAUUCUGCUGAUGGAUUGGGUAAUAGCAACUCGUCAUUAAAAAAAGGCGCACAUACCGUAGGAAGAGGACCAUCUCCGUACACAGCAGAAGAAUCUAAAAUCAUUCGUCUUGCUUCUGCAGAGUUUAAAAGAAGAGGUGGCUUCGUUAGAAUUUUCCCAUCUGCUGAUAGUUGGAUGAAGUAUUCGCAGUAUUUAGAUAGGACUACUGGAAUACCGCAAUCUGGAAAUCCUGGAACUAACUUUUGUUUAAGCAGUCAACACAAUUUUAAUUUGUUGAUCUAUACGCAUUUCUAUCCGGACAUUCCAGUGGCAACGAAUACGAGUGACAGGCUUCAAAGUCGUUCUAGGCAGACAAUUGUCAAACGUGACCUGUCUGUUGAUAGUCACAAAGCAACGUAUAAGAACUUACAUACCAGACAAGACAGGUAUGAGCGAAUGUUAAGUCAAGGACAUAAGUCAUCACUAGCUCCCAGUAAAACUACUAGAGAAACGCAAUGCCUAGAUAUGAAAAAGAAAAUAAUCGAGAUGUUGCAUACUGGAAAACGGAUAACGCAAUGGCAGGCUAGAAAAACAUUUAGCCAUUAUUUGGGCUGCAUAUUACGAAGAAUUGUUAAAGGACCAGAUCAAGAUGACCAUGUCGAGAUUGUCUUGAAAUUUAUGCAGAAAGCCUCAAAUUAUUUGAGAACUCCGUUCAACGUUAAGACACCAAGUCAGAAACUCGAUUACAAAGAUAGAGCAGCUGUUAUAGCUAAACAAUUAAACGACUUCUUGUACCUGUACAACAGAGAAACGGAUAUGUACGUCGACAAAACUGAAAAAACUGGUCAAAUACCAAAGAAAAUUUAUAAUGAGUUUCUAGAAAACGCUAGAGAAUGUGACCUGGAGGAGUUGUUGAUAUACCAGACCACGCAAAAUGUGCCAAGCUAUGCUGCAAAUCAAAGCUUUCCAGGUUUGUUAAAGUGUAUUCCAGCAAUACCAAAGCAUUACGGCCUCAAACCCCCUACUAAAAUAAAUAAAGCAAGAGCAAACAUUAAAGGUCCCGCACAAGUUGAAGUCCACCACUAAGCAUUUGUUUUGGUGUAGUAAUGGUGAAAACGAAUUGAUAAAGAACCAAAGAUUUUUCGUAACCGAUACCAAUCGUACUAUUAUCAAAGAAAAUAAGAUUUUUUAUCUACCUAGAGACUUGUUUUUUGAUUGAUUUUGGCUUAACGGUUAUAAAAAGUUCAUAACCUAUAUGUACUCAAUUAUGAAUCAAAGACGCCUAAAAACUGUUUUAUAUUAUAUUCUACGUAAAUAAGAUGUUGUCCUAUUGGUCCAUGGUGCUAGUUUAUUUAUAGCCAGGAAAAAUGUAUAUUUAAGCAGAAAAUAUCUUCAAAACAAUAUUCUUUCAUGAAAUUAGUUUUUUUACAGAUUAUUUCAGAGGAGUCUUCUUUUUUGUAUUCGAUCUAUAGCUUCUGUAAAAAUGCCCUUAUUUCUCGAGUAUUCAGGAAGUAACAGAAAAGUGUAAAGAAAUGUUUGGAAAUCUUUAAAAAACAUAACAAAAAGAAUAUACUAUAAUAGAGCUAGAGCUCAAUUUUAAACUGUAUUUAAAAAUUGAACUUUGAAAUGUAUUAAUAUGUAAUUUUUGAUUCCUGAAAAUGAAAACGUAAUUUUAAGACUUAAUCGCUACACCAUAAUACAGAUAAAAAAAGCUGAGUCUGUUGCUGACUCUUUUGCCAUAUCUAUUAAUAAAAAAAUGCUUUUAUAAUUUUUAAGCCUAUAACUCAAAAAUGAAAUUCUUAUUACAAAUCAUUAUGUCGGAUUCCAGUAGAGCGGUGGAAUGAGACUGAAAUAACGUAAAUCUGCACUGGACUGAACACUCCAGUGAGCAAUCCACUCCAGUUGAAUGGAAUGACGGUCUAUUUUUCAAUUCAGCUCGCUCAUUCCAGCGUCACUGGAAUAUUUUGAACGGUCAAUCCAGUACUUGAUUAUUGCAUUAAGGGAUUAAAUCACUUUCAAUGGUGUUACCGAUCUUACAGCUUUUGAAUAACUGGAAAAUGUGGACGAUAUGAUCCAGUUCAGCACUGUGCUGGAUAACUACCUGAAUUACUGGGGGAAAUAAUGUGAACCAGGAUUAAUGUCAACCUACACUGGAAUGAAACAUUCCAGUGAUUAUUCCAGAACGACGGUCUAUUUUUGAUUCCAGCUCGCCCAUUACAGCGCCACUGGAAUAGUGUGAACGACCAAUUCAAUGCUUGAUAAUGGCAUUGAAGCAUUGUCACUAUAGUGUUACCGAUCUUACGGCUUUUGAAUAACUGGAAUAAUGUAGACGAUAUGAUCCAGUCCAGCACUGUGCUGGAUAACUACCUGGAUUACUGGAGGACAUAAUGUGAACCAGGUUUAAUGUCAACCUGCACUGGAAUGAAACAUUCCAGUGAUUAUUCCAGAAUGACGGUCUAUUUUUGAUUCUAGCUCGCCCAUUCCAGCGCCACUGGAAUAGUGUGCACGGCCAAUCCAAUGCUUGAUAAUGGAAUUGAAGCAUUGUCACUAUAGGGUUACCGAUCUUACAGCUUUUGAAUGACUAGAAUAAUGUGGACGAUAUGAUCCAGUCCAGCACUAUACUGGAUUAAGUCGCUGGAUAAUUGGACUGGAAAAAUGUGAACCGGACACAUUAUUCCCAUUAUUCCAGUCCAAUAAUCCAGCUAGUUAAUCCAGUACAGUGCUGGACUGGAUGAUAUCGUUUACAUUAUUCUACUCAUUCAAAAGCUGUAAGAUCGGUAACACUACAGCAUUGUUUAAAAAAUAAUAGUUGGUUAACGCAAUGAAUAAAUUUGUUUAAUUCUAAUUGAGAAAGUCGCCAGAUGUCACCACCAUUUCUGUCAGGGUUGCAAUGCCACGCUUAACUACGAUAAAUCCAAACUACAUAGACAUUAAGUUGAAAUAUUCAUAACACACCAUUUCGCAUACAUAUUAAGAAAAAUAAAUAUAUGGAAGAAUAUAUUUAGAAAUUGAAUUAAUGACGUCAUGCUACUAUACAUUAUACAUAUGACAUGACAUCAUUAAUUCCAUUUCUAAAUAUAUUCUUCCAUAUACAGUCGAACCCGCUUAUUAGAGUACCGGUUAUAGGAAUAUCCCGAUUUAUGGAAUAUAAAUUCGAGGUCCCGAAACGUUUCCAUUUACCCUUUAAUAAAUUUAUCCGUUUAUUGGAAUAUGGUUUAGUAACCUCAUACCGCUUUUUAGAAUAAUUUUUUUCAGGUCAACAAAUAAAUUUUACGUACAAUUUCCUAAAAAUUUUAAAUUUGCCUGAUAUAAUGGUUUGUCGGUAAGAGCUUCGAAAGCCUGCUGUUUUGUAUAUUAUUACGGGUUGUCAGGUACCUAAUAAACACUUUAUUACUGUGUUAUGAGUAAACGCUCCUUUCCCACAGAAAAUUCAAUCGUAUGCCGACAAGGUCAUAAAAUAAUUUCAUUUGUCCAUAAAUUUCUAUUGGCACACACAGGUACAUUGCCACACACUUGGCUAUUUCUAGAAACAGCAUUUUUCUAUAAGAUUAUUUAUUACCAGUAAUUGAUCGUUUGUUGGGAAGUCAUUUCUAAAACCCAAUUUCGAUUUAUUGUCUAAUCGUUUCGUAAUUAUUUUUGUAAAUAGAUUAUAAAUUUUGAUUGACAUAAAAAGACCUAAAACCAUAUGCAUAUACAUAUUGACAUAGUAUGUACUAUUAUAACGUAUAUUCGGUACACUUAUUUCAGCUAGCCACCAAUGAUCGGUUAUUAGAGUAUCCCGCUUAUAAAAAUAUUUUUGCUUGGCACGAAGGCUAUUCUAAUAGCGGGUUCGACUGUAUUUAUUUUUCUUAAUAUGUAUGCGAGUUAAUGUGUUAUGAAUAGGAUCGUAUAUAACUUGGUGUCUAUGCAUUUUGAAUUUAUCGUAGUUACGCCUGACGUUGCAACCCUGCAAACAAAUUUAUUCAUUGCGUUGACCAACUAUUCUUUUUCAAACAAUGACUAUAGUUACAAUGCUUUAAUGCCAUAAUAAAGUACUGGAUUGCCCGUUCACGUUGUUCCAGUGACGCUGGAAUAGGCGAACUGGAAUGAAAAGUAGUCAGUCACUCCGGUCAACAGGACUGGAUUGAUCAGUGGAAUGGUUCAUUCCUGUGCAGGUUUACAUUAUUCCAGUGGCAUUUCACCGCUCUACUGGUAUGCUGCACUGGAAUAAUAUGAACAGAACAUGCAGAACACUUUUUUUUGUCAUGAAAGCCAAAACUAAGCGUGUAAUACCUAAUUAGGACACUUUUUUAUCCUGAAAGCCAAAAUUCAAUACAAAAGAGAUAUCUAACUAGAAAUUUCGAUUGUUGAAUAUUUAUUUUUAGAGGACCAAUUUUUGGGUAUAACCCUUUUGCUAAUAAUUUUUCUUAUGUAUUUUUUGUACACCGUUUUAAUUUGAAAUAAAUGCCAAUAAAAACGCA